rnacentral:rRNA from 1 species
GACGUAGGGGGCAAGCGUUGCUCGGAAUCAUUGGGCGUAAAGCGCACGUAGGCGGCUUUGCAAGUCGGACGUGAAAUCCCUCAGCUCAACUGAGGACGUGCAUCCGAAACUGCAAGGCUUGAGUACUGAAGAGGAUCGCGGAAUUCCCGGUGUAGAGGUGAAAUUCGUAGAUAUCGGGAGGAACACCAGUGGUGAAGGCGGCGAUCUGGGCAGAUACUGACGCUGAGGUGCGAAAGCGUGGGGAGCAAACAGG